ensembl:lncRNA
CCUGGGGACACCACCACCCCACCCUGGGGUCAGACCAGGACACCACCGCCUCCACCCUGGGGACACCACCGCCCCCACCCUGGGGACACCACCGCCCCCACCCUGGGGACAGACCAGGACACCACCGCCCCCACCCUGGGGACAGACCAGGACACCACCCUGGGGACAGACCAGGACACCACCCUGGGGACACCACCACCCCCACCCUGGGGACACCCCACCCACCACCGUGGGGACAUGAGUCUUCCAUUCCAAACGGGGAAACUCCUGGUGUUGGCUUCCCUCAGGUCCUCAGAAUGUUGCUACUGGACCCUGAUGUCUGCGGAGAAGAGAGGAUGAAGACGUCCGAAUCCUGGAGAGGAAGAGGAGGAUGAGGAGCAUGAAGAGAAGAUGAGGAGAGGAUGAAGAGCAUGAGGAGAGAAUGAGAGAGGAUGAGAGGAGAAGGAGAGGAUGAGGCGGUGAGAAUGGACGAGCGGAUGAGAGGGAGAGGAUGGAGAGGAUGGAGAUGGUGUGAGAGGAUCAAGGCAGAUCUUUUUUUUUAAGUUUGGGGAACCCGUUUGGAACACCCCCCUGGUCCGAUCCUCUGGGGGGGCCAGACGUUUCAGACCCUCGGUCCUUUAGCUCUGGUCGGGUCCGGAUCCACCAAAGUAGUCUUGGAGAUAGUUGUAGGCAGGAAGCCAUUUUUGCUAAAAAUAUUUAUAUUUUUAAGUUGCUCAGUGAGUUUUAAACGACUCAAGAAGAAAUGUUUUUAUCGGACCUUGCUGGUUCUAAGAUACUUUCCCGUUACCAUGGAGGAUUAUAGAGUCAUAUUAAGGAAUAAAUCUAAACAAUCAUAUGCAGUUGUUGCUUAAACAAUCCGUGCUUUAUUCUCAGGCAAUGUAACCCCCCCCCCAAGUCAAGUUCUCUUCAAAGUAAGAGCCCAUAGCUUAGAACCUACCAAAAAAUCCCCAAAAGCAUUCUUAAGAUCUUCUGUUGUGGUAAUACCCCUUUAAACCCCAAACACUGUGAGGGACAGCUCUUAACCCCGCCCCCUAAUGUACACACGCUGCACUUCUGUCGAACUUACAGCCAUAGCUAAGCAAAGCAAAAAAGAGUUUCUUUAUCUAACGCAGGUAGUUUAUAAUACUAUGAAGAAGUUUUAUUUUUAAUAGAGAGGUGGCCUAUAUAUGUAUAUAAUUUGAAAAGAUGUAUGUUGUAUAAAAAAAUCUAUUUAAGAGCAGGAGCUUCUCGACGUUUGAGCAGCUUGCAUGGUCGAAGAACGGAGAACCACAGUGAGGAACGUAGAACCACCGUGAGGAACGGAAAACCACCGUGAGGAACGGAAAACCACCGUGAGGAACGUAGAACCACCGUGUGUGUAACAGCACGUGCGUUGUGCAUGUCGCCUGGUGGACCAGCUUCUGCGUGCAUCAGCCUGACGCAGAAGCUUCGCUUGGCCUUCGCUAAAACCAGCGCAAACUGGUUCCCAGCACGUUCAGUCUUGUUUACUCUCCCGCGUCACAUAUCAUCCGCACCGUGUUGUUAAAGUGUUUCAUCAUCGCUGAAAACACCCCCCCCAGGCAGAGUAGAGAGGCGUGUCUCGGCCGGGGUGUGGCUCACCAUGCACCCUCCGAACCCACGAUCCCAUUGGCCGACGGAGCCGGGUGGCUGUGAUGUCAUUCAAGAUGGCGCCCGGCUACUAUUUACUGAUAAGUCGGCUUUUUAUAGCAGGGGGUGGGUACUCCACGACGAUGUCAUUGGAAUCAAACCCAGAACCUUUCAACACCAGUCACACCAGUAGACCCGCUUCACAGCUAGAUGGUUAGGAUGACCUUCGACCCUCGAAGCCCCCGGCUUGUGGCGGUGACUUUGGAGCUCGCCUGACAACCGGUCGCCAUGGGAACAGUUCUAAUUUGUCAUAGUGUUGCAUCGACGAUUGGUUCUGAUGGGAGACGGCCCUGACCUAGGACCGGGGUGCGUGUGGGACAGACGGACGGCGGCUUGUGAGGGACAGACGGACGGGCAGGAGGGUGUGAGGAGUUAGUAUUGAGGAGUAGCGCCACACUCUUUAGUACAACCCGCUGGCUCGCGCCCCCUCUGUCCCAGACAGGCUGAGGGGGUCAGCGGUGACCUCGGCGUGACCCCGGAGCCCCACGGCGCGGGUUCCUUCUCCAGUUAUGAUUUCAGUGUUUUUUUUUUGUGACGCUCCGAUGAGGUCAGUCCCGGCGCUGGUCGCCUGCGGGACGCCUCGGAGAUGUGCGGCGAGACGUUUGCCUCGGUGAGAGGAGACGCCACUGAAGCACGUUAAACAAACCGCAGUAUGAGCCCAGUUGGACGUCAGAAUGUUAGAUUUCUGCCGUUUCAGCAGACGCUUUUCAUCCAGAGCGACUGGCUGAAUCACAGGUACAUUCGGUCGAAGAGCAGGUAUGAUUGUCUUGCUCAAGGACACAGGUCAGACUGCCAGACAUGGGGGUUCAACCCCGACUCUUUCGGCUGGGAGAACACCCUAACCACUAUACUAACCCCCCCUUAAGAGAUUAAAGAGUCCAGGAGUAUCGAAUCCAGACUUUACGUUUUGCUAAGCCAGGUUUUGGAGACUUCAUUUUAUUAUGCGUCAGAAAUUCUCUGCUUUCGUUUUGUUUAUUGGGAUUUUUUCCCCGUUCCCUCUGUUGCCGCAGCAGCCAUCUGAUGAGUAAGAAGCAGUUAGCCUACUCUCGACAAUGUAUUGCGUUUCUGAAACCCGAGCCCAGAAACUAUCUUCGGACAAUUCACUGAGAAUGUUCGGCCCCGUGAACACGCCGCCGCCCCCGAAGCGUUUCUUGCCGUUAUGCAAUAAACUCUGUACCCCUCAGUAAGCAGACUGCAGUUCUGAGCUCCGCCAGCAGGGGCUGCUGUUGACCAGCGACGUGGUGUGUAAUAGGGAUCAAAUAUGGCCAUAUUUUUAUUGAUGUACUAUAUUAAUUACUAUCAUAUUAAUGUCAUUGUUCUGUUUUACAUCUAGUUCUCGCCUCAUGUUUUAGGGUCAAACAACAAUGAAUGAACGUAUGCAUCUUGCUUUUUUUUGUUUUGUUAUUAUAACUUGACAUUGUUAUACAUUUUUAUUUGAGACCUUUAAUAAGCAGGGAACCCGUGUUUUUUUGUAAAUAAUGUCCGUAAACCAUAGGUGCUUCUUAAACCUAACAUGAAAAAAAAGAUUUUUAAAAGACUGUAUAUUAUUUUGCAAAAAUAAAUAAAUAAUAAAAAC